AACCGGUCAUCCAAAUUAUUUGUUCCCUUAGUCUGAGACUAAUCGCCAUUGAUACCUCCUUAGCUCAAACAAUUACAUAUUUGAGCUGCCUUGGAUGGUUGUAUGCUGAUGCGUCACGCAUUCAAAAGACCCUAUUUAAAUGGUUAGCAACAACAAAUAUGUAUAUGCGUAGAGAAUUAAAUAAAUACUUGCAUUUAAACAAAAUUAAAAUUAAUUCAAUUC
rnacentral:lncRNA from 1 species